ensembl:lncRNA
AUGGGUACUUGCAGACUACGCUCACCCCCUUGCCUUCCCCACAUGUGCCUGCUCUCUCCAUCACGCUUGUGUGCUGCCCAGCACCCACCCACAGCCCCCGACACACACACACACCAACGCGCACAUACACCCUGCAGCACACACACACACCAACACGCACAUCACUACCAGCACACACGCAUGCACACACUGCACACCAGGGGAGCAGUGCACAAGCAUGCACUAGCACACGCACACAUGCACAUACAUGCUCAGGCUGGGGCUGCUCCCACACACGGGCUCAGUGCGGUUUGCAUGCAUGCAGAAACAAGGACGUGCUCAGCUCUGCAUCUCUCACACAGGCUUGUUGUGGAGCUCACACCCCGGCACAAACGCGCACACCGGCUCCGCAGUGGCUCACACACGCAUGCACACAGACACAAACACAGCCUGGGGUUCUCAUACACGCAAGUGCGGUGUGGCUCCCAGGGACACGGCGACAGGGCCACGCUUCGCUGUGGCUCUCGCACACCCCUGUGCAGCCAUGGAGCCCUGACACGCUGCACCCAGCACCUGCACGCCUCGGCCUCCCCACUGCCCCGUGCUCACCCUGCGCACCGACACCCCGGGGUGGGAAGGACCACGCCCCCCGGGGGGAGCGGGAUCACACAUACACAGAGACCGGCUGCUCCGCACACACUUAACUCCUUGUUUGCCUGGCCCUGCACCAUCCUGUCCUGCUCAGCACCAUUCAGCCUGGCCCCAGCACCCUCCAGCCUUGCCCCAGUACCAUCCAGUCCGGCCCCAGCACCACUCAGCCAUGUCCUAGCAUCAUCCAGCCCGGCCGCAGCACCAUCCAGCCCGGCCCCAGCAUCAUCCAACCCGGUCCCAGCACCAUCCAGCCUAGCCCCAGCAUCAUCCAGCCCUGUGCCCGCACCGUCCAGCCCCGGUCCCAGCAUCACCCAGCCCCGUGCCCGUCCCGUCCAGCCCCGUGCCCGCAUCGUCCAGCCUGGCCCCGGCACCAUCCAGUCCGGCCCCAGCGCCGUCCAGCCCCGUGCCCGCCCCGUCUAG